GUAACAGGAAGCAGCUUGCUGCUUUGCUGACGAGUGGCGGACGGGUGAGUAAUGUCUGGGAAACUGCCUGAUGGAGGGGGAUAACUACUGGAAACGGUAGCUAAUACCGCAUAACGUCGCAAGACCAAAGAGGGGGACCUUCGGGCCUCUUGCCAUCGGAUGUGCCCAGAUGGGAUUAGCUAGUAGGUGGGGUAACGGCUCACCUAGGCGACGAUCCCUAGCUGGUCUGAGAGGAUGACCAGCCACACUGGAACUGAGACACGGUCCAGACUCCUACGGGAGGCAGCAGUGGGGAAUAUUGCACAAUGGGCGCAAGCCUGAUGCAGCCAUGCCGCGUGUAUGAAGAAGGCCUUCGGGUUGUAAAGUACUUUCAGCGGGGAGGAAGGUGAUAAGGUUAAUAACCUCAUCAAUUGACGUUACCC
rnacentral:rRNA from 1 species